rnacentral:rRNA from 1 species
CGAUGGCGACCGGCGCACGGGUGAGUAACACGUAUCCAACCUGCCGAUAACUCGGGGAUAGCCUUUCGAAAGAAAGAUUAAUACCCGAUGGCAUAAUAGAACCGCAUGGUUUGAUUAUUAAAGAAUUUCGGUUAUCGAUGGGGAUGCGUUCCAUUAGGCAGUUGGUGGGGUAACGGCCCACCAAACCUUCGAUGGAUAGGGGUUCUGAGAGGAAGGUCCCCCACAUUGGAACUGGGACACGGCCCAA